AUUUCUUAAGGCCAUAUCUAAAUGUGCUUGGCAACUAGUAAAAUCCUCCAGGGGUUACAGUUUAAGUAACAAAUUGUUGCGAGGGGCAGCAGCAAUUAAUGCAUAUAUAUGGA